rnacentral:rRNA from 1 species
UGGGGAAUUGUUCGCAAUGGGCGCAAGCCUGACGACGCAACGCCGCGUGGAGGACGAAGACCUUCGGGUCGUAAACUCCUUUCGAUCGAGACGAAUGGCUUCCGGGUGAACAAUCCGGAAGAGUGACGGUACCGAGAGAAGAAGCCCCGGCUAACUCCGUGCCAGCAGCCGCGGUAAUACGGGGGGGGCAAGCGUUGUUCGGAAUUACUGGGCGUAAAGGGCUCGUAGGCGGCCAACUAAGUCAGACGUGAAAUCCCUCGGCUUAACCGGGGAACUGCGUCUGAUACUGGAUGGCUUGAGAUUGGGAGAGGGAUGCGGAAUUCCAGGUGUAGCGGUGAAAUGCGUAGAUAUCUGGAGGAACACCGGUGGCGAAGGCGGCAUCCUGGACCAACACUGACGCUGAGGAGCGAAAGCCAGGGGAGCAAACGGGAUUAGAUACCCGGGUAGUCC